rnacentral:misc_RNA from 1 species
GUUUUUAGUUUGCUGACAAUUAAAUGCUUCUCUCUCUAGCAAUAACAGAAACUGGCAAAAAGAAAAGCCCUCAGUGCCUUUUUCUUUUUCUCUCUCUUCCUCUUUUGUAAUUAAUUAAUUAAUUACUUUUUUUCCAUUGCUCUAGAUAGAGUGAGAGAAGCAAGAAAGUCUUUGAAACUCUCUUCUCUUCUUCUUAGUUGUGUUCAGUGUGAGUUGGAGAACACAACCGAUAUACGCUGUCGUUUCUGCUUUGCGCACGGCGGCCGGUGUUUUCUGAUGAAUGUGAAUGUGAAUGUGAAAUGAUGGAAUGACUACAUAGUGGAGUCGGUUGAAAAUGCCUAGUAGCAAGGUUUAUCUGACGUACAAACGAAAGCUACCAUUAUCUAGAACUGGCAUUGCCCAUCAAAAUGGGUGCCAUAAUUCACUUUCUGAAGGACCAAGUGACACUGAUGUGACUGCCCCAGAUAAGCAUGAUGCACCAGUUGAUGAGCACAAAUCAGAAAAUCAGCAAAGGAAUUCAUUGAUAUUUCCUGGAUGUUUUGUAUGUGGUGUCACAGCCAACCUGCUGCAAUGCAAAGACUGCCAUCAACCUUAUCAUCAGGAGUGCCUUGAUAGGUUGCCUAAGGUAUUCCAAACUUUUACUGAGGAGAAGGGGAAAAAAUGCCAUCAAGUUUCAGUUAACAGCAUAAAUUUUAUUAUUAUUAUCUAACGAACCAUUCUCUGCCCCCCUUCCCCACCUCUCUUUUCCUCUACUUCCCUCCCUCUCUGUGUCUCUUUCUCAUGCAUGCACACAUGCAUAGUCGAAGCAUAUUCUGAACAGGGAAAGUGUGAGCUGUGGUUGUAAACUACAAGAUUCUUCUGUGCUUCAGCCAAUCCAAAAAUCAAGCAGAUUGGAAACAAUGAAACACACUGGGGGACCUGAUAAGAAACUAAUGACUGUUAGUUCUUGUAAAUCACCUGUUGUGGGGAUUCUUGGCGAGGGCACCUCUGGGAAGGACACAGAGGCACAUAGUUAUCUGGAUAUAUCCUUGAAAAGUAAAUUACAUCAUGUUCAAGUUAAUUCAUGUUCAGUCAUGAAUGUAGAUUCUGAAGAGAAAUUAAUUUCUCAGUCAACAGGGAUCAAUACCGGAGCGAGUUUGGAUUUUAUCAGCUCAAAAUCAUCCUUAGAAGGUAGUUGCAAUGCUGUGUGUGAUACUGGUUCAUGUUUUCUGAAAGCAUCAAACUUGGAAGGCACUGGUACAAACUCUAAAGAUAAGUCUACUGACAGUACUGGCUGUUUGCAUGGGCCAACCAAGUUGAGUAAUCCAUUAAUUACUUUUAGUCGAAGAUGUAAAAGGAAAAAAGACGAUACUGAGGAUGAUAUAAAAAGUUCAUUUCUUGAGGAGAAAAAUUGUUCAUUUCUUACCAAAUGGAGUAAAACCACUGAUGGUGCAGCUUCUCUUAAGGUCUCCUUUGAAGAUAAUUCAAGAGAAAUGGAGAUACCCAGGGUGGACAUAGAUUCAGGGAAUAUGUUUCAUCAAAAUCAAGAUAAUGUAUAUCCUCAUUCUUUCUGAAUAACAUUCUUCUUAUGUUUUUUGAAUUGUUCUGGUUCUUAACAAAUAAAAGUUGAUGGUAAGGUAUGGUACUAACUUGCCAAACUAUAAAGGUAAUUAAUUAUUCAUUGUUAUUGUUUUGUAACAUUUAGAGCCCAGUCAAUAUUAUCAUCCACUUCUUCAUAUUUAUUUCACUUUUGAAGGCAAGGGAUGUACCCUGCUUUUGAUGUACGCUGCUUUUGGUUUAUUAAAAAUUUAAAUAUGAAGAUAUCCUUUUUGUUGUUUUUGCAUUAUAUGUUCACAUAUAAGUAUAAAGUACCUACAGUAUAAUAGCACUGAUUUACAUAUGGCAAACUGUAAAGUUUGUUUCUUGUUCUGUGUUUUGAUAUGUACAAUUACAACUUUAAAUUCUUAAAUGCUUGUGCAUUUGUCUUUUUUGGAUAGUCUGAAGGGAUUAGAGUUAAAUUCUUUUAUUGAGGUGAAGUAUAUGGGAUCACUGAUCGUAAGAAAUUAUCUGUACAUGGUAUGUGUAUGUGGCACUGAGAGAGAGAGAUGGUAAGAAGAGGAUGUGAUAUGGCAAGAAGUGCAUUUGUGCGUCUGCAAAUGUUCUUUUUAUUUUCUAACUUGUGUACAGCAGUACCAAUUGAUACAGACUGAUUUAGGCAUUUAGCAAUCCUCAGCCUUGUUUUUCUUUUCCUCAAGAAAUAACAUCCUUCAUCAAAACUUGAAUGCUCUUUAGCACCUGGCACUGGACUAAAGUUACAAAUAUAUGGUUCACCAUUGAAUAUUGAUGCAGUUUACUUUGGUUUAAGAUGAAGUUGACUGAAAUACAUCUCUUUCUUCUCUGUUAACUCUGGUUCUCUGUUUACUGUGCCUGCAGAUGGACUUAAUAAUGUUCCAGUAGGUUAGUUGUUAAUGUAUAUUGAAAACUUGAUAUGCAGUCACUCAUGCUUUUACUUCAUUUGUGACAGAUAAGAGCUGUUGAUUCUGCACACAUUCAUGCGAAUUUUGCUUUGGAAGCUAAGACGUAAAUUAACAAUUACUUAGUAAAUUGUUGUUAAAAUUGGAAUUUACUGCUAAUUAUGCAUAAUAGAGUGAUUAUUUUUCAUGCAGUUUGACUUGUGAAGAAAAAAUAUCCCAUGGUUCUAAAAGCAAAUCCAAUGAGAUCUCACCUAUCAGCAGACAAGGGCAGAUUUUCAGAGUUAACGUGAACACUGUAGGAGCUCCUCUGGGCAGUUUACAGAUCUCAUUGAAUGAUGCUGCUAAGGAUCCUUGUGAAGCUAGAGUCACAGAUACAGAGUUGGUAAACACUAAAUGUCAAGGUGAAUCUGAAAUUCUGUCGAGUGAUGGUGCAAAAGCAACGAUAGUUCCUGAUUACACAAAAGAAAGAAAGCAACCUUAUUUGGAUAUGUCUGUUACUCCUGAUUCAUGUGGGACAUUGGACCAUGAUGUCAAUUUGGAUUUGGGCAGUCAAAAGGAGCCUGCUCAUGGUGCUUCAGAAUCUCUUCGAGGCUCAAUGGACUCCACAAGCAGAAGUCAUGCUACUGUUUUAGAUCGAAUGUCCCCUUCUGAAUUAUUGCAAGGUAAGAAUAAGAGAGUGGAGGAAGUCUCAACAGUUCAUUCAACAAGGGUAUUUAGUGAUGCAUCUACUUCAGAGGAAGAAGCUGGUGUCAACUCAAAAGAUAAUGAUGUAGACUGUCAUGAGUUCUCCAUGGACAAUACAUCAAAAAAUGAAUGUCUGCAGGCAAGUUUUAUCUCAUUGUGUACAUAUGUCAAUUUCGACUGUUAUCUCUUUGCUACAAUAUCUUUUACUAUUAUAUUAAUUGUUGUUCCAUGUUAGUUUCCCUGAUUUCUUCAAUUAAGAUUUUCUUCUUUAGUCAGUUCUGUGGAUGAUGUGACUACCUGAAUAAGGAUUUUUUUUUUCUUUAAAAUAAUUCCAGCUAUUUUCUGAAGAAAAAGGCAACAGUUUCCACCUAGCAACUGCAAAGCCAGAAGUAACUACUUGCAUGGUUUUGGAAGAAAGUAAAUCUCUUAGGUUUCAAAGUGACAAUAAUCAGAUGAGACAGACUUCAUGUGGUUCUCUAUUAGAUUUGGGCUUAUCCCUGCCAACAGAGUCUAAUAUGGGCAACUAUUCUUCAAAAAAGUGCUCCAUCACAUCACGAAUGUGGAACUCUGACAGUAAAAUCAGAGACUUUGUUCAAGAUGCACUUCCUCAAUCUUCAUCUAGCCACGCAGCUUCAUUGCUGAGGCAUAAGCUUAUGCUCGAUAGUAUUGUAAUUCGAGCAAGUGCCUUGAAUGCAAAGGGUGGUUUUCAAGACAAGUGUAAGUCAUAUACUACUUUGUGGUCUGAAGAAGAACUUGAUUCUCUUUGGAUAGGUGUGAGGAGACAUGGAAGAGACAACUGGCAUGCUAUGUUAAGGGAUCCAAGACUCCAUUUUUCUUCUUGGAGAACAGCGAGGGACCUUUGUGAGCAGUGGGAGGAGGAGCAAACUAAACUGCUGAAUGGCAGUCGUGUUUUACAAUUCAAGUCUCCAAUACCGCAUGAUAUUUCUUUGGACAAUAAUGUUCGGUACAUGUGCACAAAGACUGGAAUGUGGAGAGAAAAUGCAACUGAGGAAACUAGACUCUCACUAGGAGAUGUAUAUGAUCACAGAACUAGCAACAGCUCAAAGAGGCAGCGUGUCAACUUUGCUGGUGUUGAAAGUACUAAACAGCUUCAUAGACCUGCUACUUACCCAAGGAGUGCAUCAUAUUCAGAUUUUGAGGGUGAAAUGUAUGGCAAGGGAUCAUAUGAUCAUUUGGGGUGUAUGACUGUGCCAAGGUGUGAUCCCUUACUAAAUAAUAGACCUUUCACUGCUUUGGCGUCCAAAGGUAAUUUGCCUCACUGGCUAAGAGAAGUAGUAAAUACUCCUCUGCCAAGGCCAAUGGAAGCAGCUCUACUCCCUGGUUUUUCAUCUAUUUCUCAUUCACGGGCAAUGCGGGUUAUCAAACCAUAUCCAGAUCCUAGCGAGCUACUCUUCAGUGGCAUGAGGAAUAGGACAGAUGGCAAUUUUGGUGGUGCAAGGGCAAAUGAGCUGCAGCCAUCAGGUAGUGCUCAUCCGUCCAAUGUCUCCUUGGAAAUGAGAUAUGGAAAGUCUGACAUGUGCAGUUCUUUAGGUCUUGUCAAUAAACUCGACAACUUGAUCAUUGUUGAUAGCGAUGCAUCUUCUGAAGAGACGAUAUCUGAUGAUCAUGGUGCUAGACCCUAGUUUUGAGGUUACAUAGGUAAGAGACUUCAGUUUUCUCAAAUUUGUUCAUUGUCUGCUGUACAGUUUUGUAGUUAGCAUUUUGUAAACAAGUUCUGACCCAUGUGGAUGUAGUAGUUCUCUGGCGACUAGCAGUAUAUGCAUAAUUUGAAAGUCCUUUUCUGAGUGGGAGAUGAGACAAACUGAAAUGUUUAUACAACUUCUCUAGAGGAAUGUAUUAAAAGAUUUAUGCUAAAGUUUGGCAUGUAUCUUGGAGCAUAUUCUGAUGUUCUUCUCUUAAUUUUAGGCGUCUAGUUUUGCUUUGCCAGUAAUAUGCAGGGUAAAAUGUCGAUAAUCAGUCACCUGCUUCUUUUGUUCUGAAAA